rnacentral:rRNA from 1 species
AGCUCCACUAGCGUAUAUUAAAAUUGUUGCGGUUAAAACGUUCGAAGUUUGAUUUUGUCCAGCACGAGCGGUGCGCCUAAGUUAUUGGUUGCACUUUGCUCUUGAUGCUAGGACUAUAAGUUUGUGACACCUACAGUUUGGCGUCUCGUGCGUCGGCUGUAGGCAAAUUGCUCUUGGCAUGCUCUUAAUCGGGUGUGUCUCGUGGCAAGUCCGACUAUUUAUUACCUUGAACAAAUUAGAGUGCUCAAAGCAGGCUAUUAUCGCCUUGAAUAAUCUUGCAUGGAAUAAUGGAAUAGGACCUCGAUCAAUAUAUUUCAUUGGUUUGAAUCGAUCAAGAGGUAAUGAUUAAUAAAAGCAGUUGGGGGCAUUAGUAUUACGACGCGAGAGGUGAAAUUCAUAGACCGUCGUAAGACUAACUGAAGCGAAAGCAUUUGCCAAGGAUGUUUUCC